CCUACACAGAUAUCUUAGUUUCAAGGGCUCUGCCUGUGGUCUUCCCAUCAGCCAUGUGGAACCCACUUGGAACACUUUGGGAAGAAGCUGCCUGGGUUCACUAGAGGGCUGUACAUUUGGAUAAAAUAUCAAAAACAGUGGCUGUUACCGUGUUCCCGUGCAAACCACUGGAGACAAUCAGAGGAAUAUGACAUGUUUAGGAGUCCCUGCCACUGUUGGGCCAGAACACUGGGAUCUUCAGGCAGUUGUUCCUGUAUUAGAAGAUGGGCCUGUUUAAAUUCUUCCCCAUGAAGGAGCCUUGACCCUCCUUAGUCCAGUGUUUUCCCUGGGCAAAUAUAAGGAGUGGUAGCCACUCAUCCUGCCUCACCUCUUGCCAAGAUGUGUUUUGUGGAUCCUUAUGAUUCUCUGGAUCCAAGCAUUACUGCAGUCCCAAUUGCAGAAUAAUUGACAAGGAUUGUAUCCCCCCUUUAUGGGCUCAUUUUACAUCAGCUCCUAUGUGUUUCCAAUUUUCAACAUCAAUGGUUCCUUUUUCAGGAAAUCAAGGAUUGAAUUUUACAGGCACUUAUACAAAGUUUUAGAGCUGUUGCUCUGAGUAUUUUUUGCUUAUCUUGAUCUUUACAUGCAUCUCAAUCACUGUAUGAAAUACUUUGCCUCAGAAGACUGAGAGGAACCCAUGCUAUGUCGUUCUCACGCUCCUGAUUCCAUGGGCAAGAAGACUGAACU